GAAGAGACAGCGCCGCCGGCCGUGGGGAGCGGACGCAGUGAUUUGCUCCCCCUCGUGCAGCAACCCCCACACCCAGCACCAGGAGCCUGUUCCUCUCACGCCCUCACCUGGCUGAGCCGCAGUAGUUCUUCAGUGGCAAGCUUUAUGUCCUGACCCAGCUAAAGCUGCCAGUUGAAGAACUGUUGCCCUCUGCCCCUGGCUUCGAGGAGGAGGAGGAGCUGCUUUCCCCAUCAUCUGGAAGGUGACAGAAAUGGGCUGGGAAGGUCCGAACAGCAGGGUGGAUGAUACGUUUUGGGCAAGUUGGAGAGCCUUUGCCCAGAUUGGCCCAGCAAGGAGCGGUUUUAGAUUAGAGACACUGGCUGGAUUGAGGAGUAGAAGGCUCAAACAACCCAAGGAAGCUGUGUCUGUUCGAUUUGGUGGGAGGAGAUGUGCAGGGAGCUGUAUCUUGUCCUCCGCUUGUGAAAAACUCAAGGAUGUGGAGAAGAGUAGACCGUGGAACCCUGCUCUUCUGCAGCCAAGCUGAGGGGCAGGAUGCGUGUGGGACAGUGGUAGAGAAGCAGGGGAUAGACUCAUAGGCUGCAACAAAGGUGACUCUGUCCCUGGACACUGCCUCCGUACUUUCUCCUUGCUUCACUGGCCACAGCAUCUCCCUCCAGCCCUCGCUAUGUGCCUCUGCCAUCUUCACCCAUCAUGGAGCAGAGGUGAGGAGAGGCAGCCUGGGAAUAUGGAGACCAGUGAAGGACCAGGCCUGGAGAGCACAGGGUCCUACCUGGGCAUCCAGCAGAGGAGCCCCUAAAGGCCAGGAGCACCCCAAGAGGAGGGAGGGCAGCCAGCCUCCAUUGACGGCGAGCCUCCAGCCCUCUCCUACUUUGAUCACCAUUUCUCUCCAGGCUUUCUGCCUCCGAGAUGUGGCACCAUAGUGCGGUGCCCUGUGGCUUCACCGCCCUACUUCCACCUCCGCCCAGCCUGUAAUGUUUAUAUAAGCAGCCUCAAGGACCAAGAACCAUCUGCGAAAGGACACACACAGGAAAUUCAUAAAAGAAAUCUGAAUGGAUAAAACCAUGAAAAAAAGUAUGCUUCAUUAGUAAUUAAAGAAAGGCAAAUAGAGCUGGAAGCAUUUUUCCCUUAGCAAACCAUAACAGAAAAAAAUAAGACCCAAUAUUGGCAAAGAGACUACUGAAAAAACAUUCCCAUACAUUGCGUGUGGGAGUAUACAUCGGUGCAGGCUUCCUGGAUGACAGUUGGGUGAUAUGUGUCAUGUGGCCUAAAAGCCUCCAUGUCAUUUGACCUACGAAUUCUAUCUUUGGGAAUUUAUCCUAAGAAAAUACUUAAGGAUUUAGUUAGUGAUAAGAUGUUCAUCCCAGCAUUGCAAUGGAGAAAAAUGGGAAGCAAUGGUUUGGUUGGGAAUUUAUUCCUUUUCUGCUGUAACGAAAGUUUGCAAUAGGGGAUUGCUUAAGUAAAUUAUUGUAUCUCCAUCCAGAUGGUGGAGUACCGCGCAGACAUUAAAAGUCAUGUAAAAGAACAUCUGACUGAAAGAAAAAUGCUCCUUGAAUAUUAAAAGGUUGUAAAAAUAGUGCAUGUUAUGUGAUUUCAAUUUUGUUUUUUAAAAUAUGGGUGUAUGCUUGUAUACGUAGAGCAGAUAAAAAAGACGGAAGGCAUACUAAAAAAUGUUGAGUGGUUAUCUUUGUAUGGUGGAACAAAGUCACUGUAAUUUUCAUCUUUGGUUUUUCUGUAAUUUCCAAAUUUUCCACAUUUUGUAUUUCAUAUAAUAUAAUUUAAGAGA
rnacentral:lncRNA from 1 species